UACCAGCACCCCGAGUGGUGGGGACGUUUAUUGGGCCUAAAGCAUCCGUAGCCGGUUCUACAAGUCUUCCGUUAAAUCCACCUGCUUAACAGAUGGGCUGCGGAAGAUACUAUAGAGCUAGGAGGCGGGAGAGGCAAGCGGUACUCGAUGGGUAGGGGUAAAAUCCGUUGAUCCAUUGAAGACCACCAGUGGCGAAGGCGGCUUGCCAGAACGCGCUCGACGGUGAGGGAUGAAAGCUGGGGGAGCAAACCGG
rnacentral:rRNA from 1 species